GAUGAACGCUGGCGGCGUGCCUAAUUCAUGCAAGUCGAGCGAACAGACGAGGAGCUUGCUCCUUUGACGUUAGCGGCGGACGGGUGAGUAACACGUGGGUAACCUACCUAUAAGACUGGGAUAACUUCGGGAAACCGGAGCUAAUACCGGAUAAUAUUUCGAACCGCAUGGUUCGAUAGUGAAAGAUGGCUCUGCUAUCACUUAUAGAUGGACCUGCGCCGUAUUAGCUAGUUGGUAAGGUAACGGCUUACCAAGGCAACGAUACGUAGCCGACCUGAGAGGGUGAUCGGCCACACUGGAACUGAGACACGGUCCAGACUCCUACGGGAGGCAGCAGUAGGGAAUCUUCCGCAAUGGGCGAAAGCCUGACGGAGCAACGCCGCGUGAGUGAUGAAGGUCUUCGGAUCGUAAAACUCUGUUAUUAGGGAAGAACAAACGUGUAAGUAACUGUGCACGUCUUGACGGUACCUAAUCAGAAAGCCACGGCUAACUACGUG
rnacentral:rRNA from 1 species